rnacentral:misc_RNA from 1 species
GAUGAAGAACGCAGCGAAAUGCGAUACGUAAUGUGAAUUGCAGAGCUCAGUGAAUCAUCGAAUCUUUGAACGCACAUUGCGCCCCUUGGUAUUCCAUGGGGCAUGCCUGUUCGAGCGUCAUUUGUACCUUCAAGCUUUGCUUGGUGUUGGGUGUUUGUCCUGAGGGACUCGCCUUAAAGUAAUUGGCAGCCAGUGUUUUGGUUUUGAAGCGCAGCACAAGUCGCGAUUCAAGGCUAAACGCCAGCUUCCACAAGCCUUUUUUCUCUUUUGACCUCGGAUCAGGUAGGGAUACCCGCUGAACUUAAGCAUAUCAAUAAGCGGAGGA